GUGCCCCUGUGACCAGCUCUGCCUGCCCAGUGCUCCUGCUGGGGAGCGGGGAAAGCACCCCGCACUCCGACCCCACUCCCCAACUGGAGCGCCGGGUGAGGGGAUGGGGCGGGGAAAGCCCCUGCGUUUUGACCCCAUUUCCCCAACUGGGGGGUGGGGGGAUUGCAGGCGGAAGGGAUAGGGAGGGGCCCCCACUUGCUCUGACCCAGGGCCCCACAAAUCCCUAAGCCACUUCUGAACAUUGCAUGGAAACAUGUUCCAUGGGUUAGUUGUGCACUGGGUGAAAAAGGAGACUUCCUCUUGUUUGUAGCCAACCUGCAUCUGCCCAGGGAAGCCAGGGCAAUGGAUUGGGAAACCUGAUGCCACGCUAGCUGAGUCCAUCUGCCCACGGGAGUCUCAGGGCAAUGCACUGUGAAGCAACUACCAGUUGGGGAUGCAUUGCCAAACUCAAGCGCUCGAAAAUCGCCUAAAAAGACAUGCCUAAAAAAAAUCACGAUUGACUUAAUAAUCAUAUUUAAAAUAAGUAAAUAAUUCAGGGGUGAGGGCUGGCCUCAGAGAGGGGCAGGUUCAUAUUUUCGUGCAAUUGUAAUUCAUUUCCUUGAAAGGAAGGUGGUCACCUUAGCCCUGGAUGUGGGCAUUAUUGCUCCGAUGCCUAUUUUACAGAGUGGGAAACAGGGACAGAGAGACUGACUUGUCCAAAGUCAUACAACAAGUCCAUGGCAGAGCUACGAAUCCAACUGCUGAGCCACAAGGAUUGGAUGUAAACUAGGAUAGUCACAUCUGAGGCUUUCUGAGUCAGAGGCAACAUAAAAUGACACAUGGAAGCCUCUAUUGUUCCCAGGAAAGAACAUAUGUUUCUAUGAUCUUUCUGCAGCUACAGAGGAUGGAAUAUGAGGAUGCAACUUCCUUCUUCUUGGCUCAUGGCUGCUGCUCUCCUAAUAUGGCUGCAGAAAAGGGCCUCAGACUUCACAAUAUGGCUGCAGGAAAAGGCCCCAGCCUUACACCCUCAGAGACGGCACCAGAGAAGAGCAUUCAUGCAAGAAAAAACAACCAACCAACCAGUGAAUCAAGACAUGCAGAGACUGUAAGGAAGUAGCCUGUUUCCAGUCCAGUCCACUGAAAAUACCUCAGUUGUUCCCCAGGUCAGAGGGAUUUUUCUAUUGGCCGUUGUGACAGUUCUUGGGGUACCCAGGACUGUGAGUUACCAUGUUACUUCCUGCCUCUUGUGAGAGGGAGCCUUGCCUGCGGUAGCUAGGUGUUAGCUCCCUACCACCACCAGCCUUUUAGCCACUCAUGCACUCUUCUCUGGGUUGAGCCAGUCCUGUAUUUGCCUUGCAGGUUAACAAGAGGUGCCCCAUAAUCUCCUGGAAGUGAUCCCCUGUGAUAUCCAGCCCUUGACAUGGGCUACUCAUAGAAAUCCCAGCUCCUCUAUUCCCAAAUGAUCAGUGUGUCCCAGUUCACCAGUUUUACCUUCAAUCACUGCUCCUGUGUAACACAGAGCACUUAAAAUAAAACGAAAGUAGGUUUAUUUAAGAAAGAAUAGAGAUUCUACUAGAAAUAAGAGUGAUGGAAACAAAUGGUUACAAUAUCAAACGAAAAUCACAAGUCAUGAACUAGGGCCUACUGUUAUUAAGAGUUAUCUUUCUUGUCUAAUAAAGUAUCUCUCCCCCCCACCCCACCCAACCCACAAAAAAAGAUAAGUCUGUUGCAGAGCUGGCUGGCUUCGCAGGAACCAGGAGCCAAACGUCUAUGAAAACGACCCCAUUCCACAAGAUGUU